rnacentral:tmRNA from 1 species
GGGCGCGUACUGGUUUCGACCUGAAAGAUACGCCAGAGGCGGCAUGCCGAGGACGAUGCGUUGGCCUCGUAAAUCAUCGCAUCAAACAAAUAAGCUAACGAAGAAUUAGCCCUCGCGGCCUAAGGCCACGACGUUCGCCAGCAGACACCUGCUAUGCUGGAUGAACGCCAUAGCAGGCAUGGUGGAAGGCGGAGAUUGCGCGCCCAAGCCGAGAAAAUUACAUGCAAACUAAGCAGUGGGAUUCGAGUUCGGGCGCCAUCCCAUGGCCGACAAAAUAUCCCGGACUAAGCAUGUAGUCGCGGCUGGUUUGCCUGUCAGGGACGGGGGUUCAACUCCCCCCGCGUCCACCA